rnacentral:rRNA from 1 species
GACGAACGCUGGCGGCGUGCUUAACACAUGCAAGUCGAACGGUGAAGCGCCUUCCUUUUUGGUGGGUGUGGAUGAGUGGCGAACGGGUGAGUAACACGUGAGUAACCUGCCCCCUUCUUCUGGAUAACCGCAUGAAAGUGUGGCUAAUACGGGAUAUUCUGGGUCUGUCGCAUGAUGGGUCUGGGAAAGAUAUUGUUUCGGUGGGGGAUGGGCUCGCGGCCUAUCAGCUUGUUGGUGGGGUGAUGGCCUACCAAGGCGGUGACGGGUAGCCGGCCUGAGAGGGUGGACGGUCACACUGGGACUGAGACACGGCCCAGACUCCUACGGGAGGCAGCAGUGGGGAAUAUUGCACAAUGGGCGCAAGCCUGAUGCAGCGACGCCGCGUGAGGGAUGGAGGCCUUCGGGUUGUGAACCUCUUUCGCCGGUGAAGCAGGCCUGCCUCGUUUGUGGGUGGGUUGACGGUAGCUGGAUAAGAAGCGCCGGCUAACUACGUGC